GACGAACGCUGGCGGCGUGCUUAACACAUGCAAGUCGAACGGAAAGGCCCUGCUUUUGUGGGGUGCUCGAGUGGCGAACGGGUGAGUAACACGUGAGUAACCUGCCCUUGACUUUGGGAUAACUUCAGGAAACUGGGGCUAAUACCGGAUAGGAGCUCCUGCUGCAUGGUGGGGGUUGGAAAGUUUCGGCGGUUGGGGAUGGACUCGCGGCUUAUCAGCUUGUUGGUGGGGUAGUGGCUUACCAAGGCUUUGACGGGUAGCCGGCCUGAGAGGGUGACCGGCCACAAUGGGACUGAGAUACGGCCCAGACUCCUACGGGAGGCAACAGUGGGGAAUAUUGCACAAUGGGCGGAAGCCUGAUGCAGCAACGCCGCGUGCGGGAUGACGGCCUUCGGGUUGUAAACCGCUUUCGCCUGUGACGAAGCGUGAGUGACGGUAAUGGGUAAAGAAGCACCGGCUAACUACGUG
rnacentral:rRNA from 1 species